UACGAAGGGGGCGAGCGUUGUUCGGAUUUACUGGGCGUAAAGGGCGCGUAGGCGGCGGGUCAAGUCGAGUGUGAAAGCCCCGGGCUCAACCUGGGAAUUGCGCUCGAGACUGGUCUGCUUGAGUUCGGGAGAGGAGAGUGGAAUUCCCAGUGUAGAGGUGAAAUUCGUAGAUAUUGGGAAGAACACCGGUGGCGAAGGCGGCUCUCUGGACCGAGACUGACGCUGAGGCGCGAAAGCGUGGGGAGCAAACAGGG
rnacentral:rRNA from 1 species